rnacentral:rRNA from 1 species
UGCAAGUCGAGCGGUAGCACAGAGAGCUUGCUCUCGGGUGACAAGCGGCGGACGGGUGAGUAACGCGUAGGAAUCUACCUAAUAGUGGGGGAUAGCCCAGGGAAACUUGGAUUAAUACCGCAUACGCCCUAAGGGGGAAAGCGGGGGAUCUUCGGACCUCGUGCUAUUAGAUGAGCCUGCGUAAGAUUAGCUAGUUGGUGAGGUAAGAGCUCACCAAGGCGACGAUCUUUAGCUGGUCUGAGAGGAUGAUCAGCC